ensembl:lincRNA
AUGUUAGAAACUUCCACUUCCUCUGAGGACAUUCAAUCUUCUAUUCAGUUCUGCUCCCCUUCACACAUUCAAGUAAUCUUGAAGUCAACAUGGAAAAGAAACAUAGCAAGGAAUGAGACAUCAGUUAAGAAUCUAUUGAAACAAUUCAGUUUCUCUGCACUGCUUCCUAGCUUCUGGAUUCAGGAGAUUAUAGAGUUCCACUGUUUGAAGGCUACAUGGGACACUCCUCAUUUCCUUAUCUUCUUGAUCAUCUCAGCACAUCUGGCUUCCUGGUAUACUUGGAUUCUAUUUACCUGAGGUAAGUCUGAAGAAUACCAAAGUUGCUUGCUCACUCACAAGCAAACAGUUUCCACUUAUGCAAGUUUUCUCAGCAUUCAUACAGAAUCAUAAACUUGCUGAGAUUUGUUUGUUUUUUAACGUAAGCCUUACACCAUUUGAUGAUAUACAGCUUAGCACAAAAAGAGGAAAGCAAAUUGCAAAGACCUCUAUUUUUGUAUAUCUACAUUUGUGAGGUGGUCAUCAGGCAGAAAGCAUAACAAAUUAUUUAUUAAACAUAAGAGAAAAGAAAGUCUACUGGCCAGUCACACCAGUCACCUUAUGAAUGGAUAUUAAACUUGCAAUUUCCCCAAAGAUAUGUCUAGAAGGUUCAUCAAAAUCACUUAUGAAUCAUAUUCAUUAUUUAACACAAUGGAGGAAAGAAAUAUUAUCUAUUGAGUUUUGGAAUAUAGCCAGUAAAAAGUGAUGUUAGUUGGACUAGACUUGUGAAAGGAGCUAUUAAUGGAAGAUGAAUUGGUUAGUAGAAUCACACAUAUGAAGUGUAUUAUGAAGGUCUCAGGAGACAGAUCAACCUGGAUCACAGUAUUCAAAUAUACAACAGGAAAUGUUUUAAAAUAAAAAACACCAAGAGGCUUGUUAGAUUAAAUAUAAAAUUAAAACUCUUGACUGAAACUCCUUUUGGAAACAAUGACCUCACAUCAUUCUUUUCAACUACAGAGACACAAAAGGGGGAUACCUGGUUCAAAAUAUGCGUAAUUAUUUUGACAUGUCAUUGGUGUUUUAUUUUAUGUAGUGUAUAUACUUUAAAAUUAUGAAUUCAUGAUGAUAUAUAAAGAGAAUUGUGAUUUUAGUGCAAGGAAUUCUAGAGUACAUAUUUUUGUAAUAUAAAUGGCAAUGUGUACAUGUGUGGAUACAUAUACAUACACACAAACCCCACAUGAUUUAAGAAGCUUUGUAAAUUAAGACUUUUAAUGAGAGGCAUUGAUAUUACCCUUCAGUUCAGUUCAGUCUCUCAGUUGUGUCUAACUCUUUGUGACCCCAUGAAUCGCACCACGCCAGGCCUCCCUGUCCAUCACCAACUCCCAGAGUUUACUCAAACUCAUGUCCAUCGAAUCAGUGAUGCCAUCCAACCAUCUCAUCCUAUGUCAUCACCUUCUCCUCCUGCCCCCAAUCCCUCCCAGCAUCAGAGUGUUUUCCAGUGAGUCAACUGUUCACAUGAGGUGGCCAAAGUACUGGACUUUCAGCUUCAGCAUCAGUCCUUCCAAUGAACACCCAGGACUAAUCUCCUUUAGAAUGGACUGGUUGGAUCUCCUUGCAGUCUAAGUGACUAUCAAGAGUCUUUUCCAACACCACAGUUCAAAAGCAUCAAUUCUUCAGCACUCAGCUUUCUUCACAGUCCAACUCUCACAUCCAUACAUGACCACUGGAAAACCAUAACAUUGACUAGACAGACCUUUGUUGGCAAAGUAAUGUCUCUGCUUUUGAAUAUGCUAUCCAGGUUGGUCAUAACUUUUCAUCCAAGGAGUAAGUAUCUUUUAAUUUCAUGGCUGCAGUCACCAUCUGCAGUGAUUUUGGAGACCCCAAAAAUAAAGUCUGCCACAGUUUCCACUGUUUCCCCAUCUAUUUCCCAUGAAGUGAUGGGACCGGAUGCCAUGAUCUUCGUUUUCUGA